GCCCCGAUAGUUCAACGGAUAGAACGGCUCCCUUCUAAGGAGUAAAUGAGGGUUCAAUUCCUUCUCGGGGUA
rnacentral:tRNA from 1 species